GUGCUCACAGCACCAGCACACAUACUGAGGUUGGAACGAUGCAGAAAAAGUAGCAUGGCUCUGGGUAAGGAUGACAUGCAAACUUGUGAAGUGUCCCAUAUUUUU
ensembl:snRNA U6 U6 spliceosomal RNA